AUCCAGCUGACGAGUCACAAAUAGGACGAAAGGUGCGUCCUGGAU
rnacentral:hammerhead_ribozyme from 1 species